rnacentral:rRNA from 1 species
AUACGGAGGGGGUUAGCGUUGUUCGGAAUUACUGGGCGUAAAGCGCACGUAGGCGGACUGGAAAGUUGGGGGUGAAAUCCCGGGGCUCAACCCCGGAACUGCCUCCAAAACUUCCAAUCUAGAGAUCGAGAGAGGUGAGUGGAAUUCCAAGUGUAGAGGUGAAAUUCGUAGAGAUUUGGAGGAACACCAGUGGCGAAGGCGGCUCACUGGCUCGAUACUGACGCUGAGGUGCGAAAGCGUGGGGAGCAAACAGAAUUAGAAACCCUAGUAGUCC